CCCUUAGAUGUUCUGGGCCGCACGCGCGCUACACUGACGAAUGCAACGAGCUUAUAACCUUGGCCGAAAGGUCUGGGUAAUCUCCAAAUUUCGUCGUGAUGGGGAUAGAUUAUUGCAAUUAUUAAUCUUCAACGAGGAAUGCCUAGUAAGCGCAAGUCAUCAGCUUGCGUUGAUUACGUCCCUGCCCUUUGUACACACCGCCCGUCGCUCCUACCGAUUGAAUGGUCCGGUGAAGCGCUCGGACCGCGGCCCCUUGACGGUUCGCUGUCGAUUGGCUGUGGGAAGUUCGUUAAACCUUAUCAUUUAGAGGAAGGAGAAGUCGUAACA
rnacentral:rRNA from 1 species